GCCCUUGUGGCCAAGGGGAUUAAGGCAUCUCACUUGUAUACAGCAAUAUGAGAAGAUCGGGAGUUCGAUUCUCCUCGGGGGCA